GCGUCUUUAGCUCAGUUGGGAGAGCAGCUGGUUUACACCCAGCAGGUCGGCGGUUCGAGCCCGUCAGGACGCA
rnacentral:tRNA from 4 species